CCUACGGGUGGCAGCAGUAGGGAAUCUUCCACAAUGGGCGAAAGCCUGAUGCAGCAACGCCGCGUGGGUGAAGAAGGUCUUCGGAUCGUAAAACCCUGUUGUUAGAGAAGAACGUGCGUGAGAGUAACUGUUCACGUUUCGACGGUAUCUAACCAGAAAGCCACGGCUAACUACGUGCCAGCAGCCGCGGUAAUACGUAGGUGGCAAGCGUUAACCGGAUUUAUUGGGCGUAAAGGGAACGCAGGCGGUCUUUUAAGUCUGAUGUGAAAGCCUUGGGCUUAACCGGAGUAGUGCAUUGGAAACUGGGAGACUUGAGUGCAGGAGAGGAGAGUGGAACUCCAUGGGUAGCGGUGAAAUGCGUAGAUAUAUGGAAGAACACCAGUGGCGAAGGCGACUCUCUGGUCUGUAACUGACGCUGAGGUUCGAAAGCGUGGGUAGCAAACAGGAUUAGAUACCCCGGUAGUC
rnacentral:rRNA from 1 species